rnacentral:rRNA from 1 species
GGGGGCGAGCGUUGUCCGGAAUUAUUGGGCGUAAAGAGCGUGUAGGCGGUUCGGUAAGUCUGCCGUGAAAACNUGGGGNUCAACCCUGGGCGUGCGGUGGAUACUGCCGGGCUAGAGGAUGGUAGAGGCGAGUGGAAUUCCCGGUGUAGCGGUGAAAUGCGCAGAUAUCGGGAGGAACACCAGUAGCGAAGGCGGNUCGCUGGGCCAUUCCUGACGCUGAGACGCGAAAGCAUGGGGAGCGAACAGGAUUAGAUACCCUGGUAGUCCAUGCCGUAAACGAUGAACACUAGGUGUGGGGGGAGUCGNAUCCCCCUGUGCCGAAGCCAACGCGUUAAGUGUU